rnacentral:rRNA from 1 species
UACAGAGGUCUCAAGCGUUGUUCGGAUUCAUUGGGCGUAAAGGGUGCGUAGGUGGCGCGCUAAGUCAGGUGUGAAAUCUCGGGGCUUAACUCCGAAACUGCAUUCGAUACUGGCGUGCUUGAGGACUGGAGAGGAGACUGGAAUUCAUGGUGUAGCAGUGAAAUGCGUAGAGAUCAUGAGGAAGACCAGUGGCGAAGGCGGGUCUCUGGACAGUUCCUGACACUGAGACACGAAGGCCAGGGGAGCAAACGGG